GAGGGUAUAGCUCAGUAGUAGAGCACAUGCUCAGUCUGCAUGAGGUCCUGGAUUCAAUUCCCAGUACCUCCA
rnacentral:tRNA from 1 species